rnacentral:rRNA from 1 species
AUUGAACGCUGGCGGCAGGCCUAACACAUGCAAGUCGAACGGAGUGGCGGACGGGUGAGUAAUGCCUAGGAAUCUGCCUGGUAGUGGGGGAUAACGUCCGGAAACGGGCGCUAAUACCGCAUACUCUCAGAUGAGCCUAGGUCGGCUUAGCUAUUUGGUGGGGUAAAGGACUACCAAGGCGACGAUCCGUAACUGGUCUGAGAGGAUGAUCGGCGACACUGGAACUGAGAAACGGUCCAGACUCCUACGGGAGGCAGCAGUGGGGAAUAUUGGACAAUGGCCGAAAGCCUGAUCCAGCCAUGCCGCGUGGGUGAAGAAGGUCUUCGGAUUGGAAAGCACUUUAAGUUGGGAGGCGUUACCAACAGAAUAAGCACCGGCUAACUUCGUGCCAGCAGCCGCGGUAAUAC